CAGCCGUAAACAAUAUGCGUUAGGUAUGUCGGUAACCACGUGUUACUGAUGUGCCGAAGAGAAAUCGUGAAACGCACCACCUGGGAAGUACGGUCGCAAGGCUGAAACUUAAAGGAAUUGGCGGGGGAGCACCACAACAGGUGGAGCCUGCGGUUUAAUUGAAUUCAACGCCGGACAUCUCACCGGAUAAGACAGCUGAAUGAUUGUCAAUCUGAAGGUUUUACAUGACUAGCUGAGAGGAGGUGCAUGGCGUCAGUGACU
rnacentral:rRNA from 1 species